CAGAGAAGGACAAAGACACAAACAUCUUGCUUCCCUUUAGAGGGAUACAGAACUUCCUAAGAUACAUCAAAAAUUGGUGAUAACUCCAGUGUUUGGAAACAAGUGCUGCUGGAUGUGCCAGAGAGAAGAAAACUUUCUUUGGAAUAAAAGAAGAAUGCAUAAGGAGCGAGUGAUGUAAUUGCCUUUGUCAACAUGCCAAAAGGGUUCUAUACUGCCUGAAUUUGAGAGCCUCUGAGAAAAGGUGACAGCAAGAGGAAGUGAGCAUUUUCCCUGAUGUCAGUGAGAAGACACAUGCUUAAACACAUGCUUCAGUGUUCAGUUUU